rnacentral:rRNA from 1 species
UACGGAGGGGGCGAGCGUUAUUCGGAAUUAUUGGGCGUAAAGGGCGCGUAGGCGGCUCGAUAAGUCAAAGGUGAAAUCCCUCGGCUCAACUGAGGAACUGCCUUUGAAACUGUCGAGCUUGAGUCCGGGAGGGGGUGGCGGAAUUCCCAGUGUAGCGGUGAAAUGCGUAGAUAUUGGGAGGAACACCAGUGGCGAAAGCGGCUACCUGGACCGGAACUGACGCUGAGGCGCGAAAGCGUGGGUAGCAAAC